AUAGACGGUUUAUGGCUAAUUGAUGGAUAAAGAUGAAAAGAGUUUUCAUUAUUGAUUUCACACGACACACGCAUCAAGUGAUCGUUUUCAUAUUCGAGAGAGUAAACGAUAGUCAUCGAGUUUACUAUACGAUAGUUACUCGCUUACUAAACGAUCGAGUACUAAACUCUAUACGAUAGACUUCUUAUUCUAAAAGAUUGGUUGUCGCAUACUCGAUCGUCUAGUUCCUCCAUCCCUCUAACCAAAUCCAUACAGAGCCCAUAACUCCUAGAUUUUCACACCAAGAAUACCAAGGUAACCGAGUGGUAGUAUCGAGUUUCGUUCGAGGGUCAAGGAUCGAGUUUUACACGGUUAUGAUCGAGGUUUUUCCAGUUCGUGUUGUUUGUUAAGUUUCUUGUUGCGUUCGUGCUGCUGGACACAUUGCUGAACGAUCGAGGGAUACGUGAAGAAAAGGUUCUUCAAAGAGUUUGGAACGAUCUGCUUCCAUUCACUGGUUCUCUAGAUUUAGAGUUCCUUCACUUCGAAGCUGAAGCAGAAAUCCAGAUCGAGCAUCCGAGUAUUGGCUUCCAGCUCGAACUCCGUGUUUGAAUCUUUUGUAACAUAAAAAAUUAGAAUGAUGAUGAUAAAGGUCUUGUUUGCCCUCCUGGUUAUUGGCUCAUGUCGGCUAAUCGCAAGUUGUGGGCUCUUCACAGCAGGUGUUUUCAAAGAAUCUUCCUUCUCAUGACCAUGAAGCUUUCAUGUUCCAUAAAUUUAGGCAUUUGAGGUUGAGUUACCAUGUGAGUUGUUUGUGUUCAUGUACCUUCCAAAUGAAUUCAG